UACGUAGGAUGCAAGCGUUGUCCGGAAUUAUUGGGCGUAAAGAGUUCGUAGGCGGCAUGUCAAGUCUGGUGUUAAAGACUGGGGCUCAACCCCAGAAGGGCACUGGAUACUGGCAAGCUAGAGUGCAGAAGAGGCAAGGGGAAUUCCCAGUGUAGCGGUGAAAUGCGUAGAUAUUGGGAGGAACACCAGUGGCGUAAGCGCCUUGCUGGGCUGUUACUGACGCUGAGGAACGAAAGCCAGGGGAGCAAAUGGG
rnacentral:rRNA from 1 species